AUUGAACGCUGGCGGCAGGCCUAACACAUGCAAGUCGAGCGGAGCGGCAGACGGGGGAGUAAUGGCUAGGAAUCUGCCUGGUAGUGGGAGAUAACGUAGGGAAACGGGCGCUAAUACCGCAUACUAUCAGAUGAGCCUCGUUCGGAUUAGCUAGUUGUUGGGGUAAAGGCCUACCAAGGCGACUAUCCGUAUCUGGUCUGCGAGGAUGAUCAGUCACACUGGAACGGGGACACGGUCCAGACUCCUACGGGAGGCAGCAGUGGGGAAUAUUGGACAAUGGGCGAAAGCCGGAUCCAGCCAGGCCGCGUGUGUGAAGAAGGUCUUCGGAUUGUAAAGCACUUUAAGUUGGGAGGCGUUACCAACAGAAUAAGCACCGGCUAACUACGUGCCAGCAGCCGCGGUAAUAC
rnacentral:rRNA from 1 species